rnacentral:rRNA from 1 species
AUGAACGCUGGCGGCGUGCCUAAUACCUGCCAGUCGAGCGAACGGACGAGAAGCUUGCUUCUCUGAUGUUAGCGGCGGACGGGUGAGUAACACGUGGAUAACCUACCUAUAAGACUGGGAUAACUUCGGGAAACCGGAGCUAAUACCGGAUAAUAUUUUGAACCGCAUGGUUCAAAAGUGAAAGACGGUCUUGCUGUCACUUAUAGAUGGAUCCGCGCUGCAUUAGCUAGUUGGUAAGGUAACGGCUUGCCAAGGCAACGAUGCAUAGCCGACCUGAGAGGGUGAUCGGCCACACUGGAACUGAGACACGGUCCAGACUCCUACGGGAGGCAGCAGUAGGGAAUCUUCCGCAAAGGGCGAAAGCCUGACGGAGCAACGCCGCGUGAGUGAUGAAGGUCUUCGGAUCGUAAAACUCUGUUAUUAGGGAAGAACAUAUGUGUAAGUAACUGUGCACAUCUUGACGGUACCUAAUCAGAAAGCCACGGCUAACUACGUG